rnacentral:rRNA from 1 species
GAUGAACGCUAGCGGCAGGCUUAAUACAUGCAAGUCGAGGGGCAGCAGCUUUGUAGCAAUACAGGGGCUGGCGACCGGCAAACGGGUGCGGAACACGUACGCAACCUUCCUUUAACUGGAAGAUAGCCCACCGAAAGGUGGAUUAAUACUACAUAACAUAUUGAAGAGGCAUCUCUUUGAUAUUAAAGCUCCGGCGGUUAAAGAUGGGCGUGCGUCUGAUUAGGUAGUUGGCGGGGUAACGGCCCACCAAGCCUUCGAUCAGUAGCUGAUGUGAGAGCAUGAUCAGCCACACGGGCACUGAGACACGGGCCCGACUCCUACGGGAGGCAGCAGUAAGGAAUAUUGGUCAAUGGACGCAAGUCUGAACCAGCCAUGCCGCGUGGAGGAUGAAGGCCCUCUGGGUUGUAAACUUC